AUAUGCACAAGCUGUGCUGGGGCUGUCCCGAACGUCGCAGCGGGGAUACAGAGACUAGGAGACUUGUUUGAAAAUGCCGGGGCCGCCCGCUCCUGCUUGUCCGCCCGCCCGCCCGCCCGCCCGCCCGGCGUCCCGUGGGGCUCACUUGAAAAUUGUUAUAAAGGAGAAAAAUGUCUAAAAGCAAUUACAGGGACGCACAACUUCUUUCUGCAUGUUUUACUUGGUAGUCAUGGUGAUGGGUACGUCACACGGCGCCGUCAAGCAAUGACGACGUCACUGCCUGCGCGGCUCGGCGGGUGUGUGGUCCCGGGACGAGCUGGCGGGAAUGCACAAUGGUGAUACUAUAAAGGUAUGUACUUAUUCUUAUUUGUUAUUAAAGCCU